UAAGUUUUCUGAUCCGAACUCGCAGAGGCACAGAAAAGAUGUCAUUAACAGAGUUUGCGGAUGUUGAUGCGAUCUAAUUGGCAAACCGUUAUCGAUUGAAAUAUUGCGGAAGAUAAAAUUGCCAGCGGCAGCUUUUAGAUCACAACACACAGCCUCUAAAACUGUACGUGCUUCGAGGAAGAUAUCAUACGAGAGGGACCGGAAAGUGGCAAAUGAAGGGCAAAGCCAAGUGUUGUGACCGCACCAACUCCCUACCCGAGACCAUCUCCGCCACCGCCUUCUUGAGCGGCGCAAACAGCUCCGCCACCACCCGCCACCGGAACUGCGACCACCGCACCAGUCGCCGAAGCAGCAGUCCCCGACGCCUGCUGCCCAGCCUCACCGUGCCGCCCCGCCGCCGCCGCGUCCUCCGCAUCCUCCUUCCGCCACCGAAACCCAUCGGCUGCUGCUGCUGUUGCUGCUUCUCCCGCCCCGCGCACCACCGGACGACCGUCAUGCUCCCGAGCUCGCAAGCCACCUUCGCCAUAGUGCGAUGAGACAACGCCGAUGCGGAUCGCUCUUAUAACAAGCGAAGAAGGCUCACCCCGAAUGCUAACAAUGGUUGGUGAUGAUUGUGACAUGAUAGGAUGAGUAAUUAACUGCUGCAGCAGCAGCAGCAGCAGCAGUGAUGAUGAUAAGCUUCGGUCCACGAGUAUCAUAAGGAGAGUGCGAGAUCAAUCAUUAGGAGCAGCUGCCUCACAUGAAACUAUUCCUGCAAAUGGGCACAAACAAAGCAGAAAAGUGUAGAGGAAUCAGAAUGAAAGCAAUAGGAAAUCCAGACUUGUAGCCUACUCUUAUUGUGGUCAGCACAUGAGGCCGCCGAGGUCUUUUGGAUACAUCUCCAUGGCUGGCCACGCAUGCCACUCUUCUUCCUCCUCCCUUUGUCCACUUCCUCAAACUUCAAUCAGACUCCUCUACACUAUUCUAUCACUCAUUUAUGAUUCAUUUGUUCUAAUAUAUGAUACAAAACGAUCCACCUACCAAAGGUUUUGGCUGAGAACUCGAGAUAUUAUGUAAUUAAUUUUAUUUUAAAUGAUUUAUCUGGUUCUCAUACUUAUGAUGAUGUGAUGUAAGAUUUCAGUUGAUAAAAAUCUUAAUGAUUCAUUGUAAGAUUUUAAAUUGGAAUCUCCUCUUUACCAUGGCACAAUCAUUGGAGUGGUGUGAUGAUGAAAGAAGCCAC
rnacentral:lncRNA from 1 species